UACGUAGGGGCCGAGCGUUGUCCGGAGUUACUGGGCGUAAAGCGCGCGCAGGCGGCCGCUUUGGCCCGCCGUGAAAGCCCCCGGCUCAACCGGGGAGGGUCGGCGGGGACGGGGCGGCUUGAGGACGGCAGGGGCUGGUGGAAUCCCCGGUGUAGUGGUGAAAUGCGUAGAGAUCGGGGGGAACACCCGUGGCGAAGGCGGCCAGCUGGGCCGAUCCUGACGCUGAGGCGCGAAGGCGUGGGGAGCGAACGGG
rnacentral:rRNA from 1 species